rnacentral:rRNA from 1 species
GAGUUACGAUUUGAUGCAAGGUUAAGCAGUAAAUGUGGAGCCGUAGCGAAAGCGAGUCUGAAUAGGGCGUUUAGUAUUUGGUCGUAGACCCGAAACCAGGUGAUCUACCCUUGGUCAGGUUGAAGUUCAGGUAACACUGAAUGGAGGACCGAACCGACUUACGUUGAAAAGUGAGCGGAUGAACUGAGGGUAGCGGAGAAAUUCCAAUCGAACCUGGAGAUAGCUGGUUCUCUCCGAAAUAGCUUUAGGGCUAGCCUCAAGUGAUGAUUAUUGGAGGUAGAGCACUGUUUGGACGAGGGGCCCCUCUCGGGUUACCGAAUUCAGACAAACUCCGAAUGCCAAUUAAUUUAACUUGGGAGUCAGAACAUGGGUGAUAAGGUCCGUGUUCGAAAGGGAAACAGCCCAGACCACCAGCUAAGGUCCCAAAAUAUAUGUUAAGUGGAAAAGGAUGUGGCGUUGCCCAGACAACUAGGAUGUUGGCUUAGAAGCAGCCAUCAUUUAAAGAGUGCGUAAUAGCUCACUAGUCGAGUGACACUGCGCCGAAAAUGUACCGGGGCUAAACAUAUUACCGAAGCUGUGGAUUGUCCUUUGGACAAUGGUAGGAGAGCGUUCUAAGGGCGUUGAAGCAUGAUCGUAAGGACAUGUGGAGCGCUUAGAAGUGAGAAUGCCGGUGUGAGUAGCGAAAGACGGGUGAGAAUCCCGUCCACCGAUUGACUAAGGUUUCCAGAGGAAGGCUCGUCCGCUCUGGGUUAGUCGGGUCCUAAGCUGAGGCCGACAGGCGUAGGCGAUGGAUAACAGGUUGAUAUUCCUGUACCACCUAUAAUCGUUUUAAUCGAUGGGGGGACGCAGUAGGAUAGGCGAAGCGUGCGAUUGGAUUGCACGUCUAAGCAGUAAGGCUGAGUAUUAGGCAAAUCCGGUACUCGUUAAGGCUGAGCUGUGAUGGGGAGAAGACAUUGUGUCUUCGAGUCGUUGAUUUCACACUGCCGAGAAAAGCCUCUAGAUAGAAAAUAGGUGCCCGUACCGCAAACCGACACAGGUAGUCAAGAUGAGAAUUCUAAGGUGAGCGAGCGAACUCUCGUUAAGGAACUCGGCAAAAUGACCCCGUAACUUCGGGAGAAGGGGUGCUCUUUAGGGUUAACGCCCAGAAGAGCCGCAGUGAAUAGGCCCAAGCGACUGUUUAUCAAAAACACAGGUCUCUGCUAAACCGUAAGGUGAUGUAUAGGGGCUGACGCCUGCCCGGUGCUGGAAGGUUAAGAGGAGUGGUUAGCUUCUGCGAAGCUACGAAUCGAAGCCCCAGUAAACGGCGGCCGUAACUAUAACGGUCCUAAGGUAGCGAAAUUCCUUGUCGGGUAAGUUCCGACCCGCACGAAAGGCGUAACGAUUUGGGCACUGUCUCAACGAGAGACUCGGUGAAAUCAUAGUACCUGUGAAGAUGCAGGUUACCCGCGACAGGACGGAAAGACCCCGUGGAGCUUUACUGUAGCCUGAUAUUGAAAUUCGGCACAGCUUGUACAGGAUAGGUAGGAGCCUUUGAAACGUGAGCGCUAGCUUACGUGGAGGCGCUGGUGGGAUACUACCCUAGCUGUGUUGGCUUUCUAACCCGCACCACUUAUCGUGGUGGGAGACAGUGUCAGGCGGGCAGUUUGACUGGGGCGGUCGCCUCCUAAAAGGUAACGGAGGCGCUCAAAGGUUCCCUCAGAAUGGUUGGAAAUCAUUCAUAGAGUGUAAAGGCAUAAGGGAGCUUGACUGCGAGACCUACAAGUCGAGCAGGGUCGAAAGACGGACUUAGUGAUCCGGUGGUUCCGCAUGGAAGGGCCAUCGCUCAACGGAUAAAAGCUACCCCGGGGAUAACAGGCUUAUCUCCCCCAAGAGUUCACAUCGACGGGGAGGUUUGGCACCUCGAUGUCGGCUCAUCGCAUCCUGGGGCUGUAGUCGGUCCCAAGGGUUGGGCUGUUCGCCCAUUAAAGCGGUACGCGAGCUGGGUUCAGAACGUCGUGAGACAGUUCGGUCCCUAUCCGUCGUGGGCGUAGGAAAUUUGAGAGGAGCUGUCCUUAGUACGAGAGGACCGGGAUGGACAUACCUCUGGUGUACCAGUUGUCGUGCCAACGGCAUAGCUGGGUAGCUAUGUGUGGACGGGAUAAGUGCUGAAAGCAUCUAAGCAUGAAGCCCCCCUCAAGAUGAGAUU